CCUACGGGUGGCUGCAGUGAGGAAUAUUGGUCAAUGUGCGCGAGCCUGAACCAUCCACGUAGCGUGCAGGAUGACUGCCCUACGGGUUGUAAACUUCUUUUAUCCAGGAAUAAAGUGAGGCCCGUGUGCCUUUUUGUAUGUACUUUAUGAAUAAGGAUCGGCUAACUCCGUUCCAGCCGCCGCGUUAAUACGGAGGAUCCGAGCGUUAUCCUGAUUUAUUGGGUUUAAAGGCAGCGUAGAUGGGUUGUUAAGUCAGUUGUGAACGUUUGCGGCUCAACCGUAAAAUUGCAAUUGAUACUGGCAGUCUUGAUUACAGUUGAGGUAGGCGGAAUUCGUGGUGUAGCGGUGAAAUGCUUAGAUAUCACGAAGAACUCCGAUUGCGAAGGCAGCAUACUAAACUGCCACUGACAUUGAUGCUCGAAAGUGUGGGUAUCAAACAGGAUUAGAUACCCCAGUAGUC
rnacentral:rRNA from 1 species